rnacentral:tRNA from 5 species
GGGAUAGCUCAGUUGGUAGAGCAGAGGACUGAAAAUC